rnacentral:rRNA from 1 species
ACUCCUGCGGGAGGCAGCAGUGGGGAAUUUUGGACAAUGGGGGCAACCCUGAUCCCGCAAUGCCGCGUGAGUGAAGAAGGCCUUCGGGUUGUAAAGCUCUUUUGUCAGGGAAGAAACGGUGGUGGCGAAUAACUACUACUAAUGACGGUACCUGAAGAAUAAGCACCGGCUAACUACGUGCCAGCAGCCGCGGUAAUACGUAGGGUGCAAGCGUUAAUCGGAAUUACUGGGCGUAAAGCGUGCGCAGGCGGUUGUGUAAGUCAGAUGUGAAAUCCCCGGGCUCAACCUGGGAAUUGCAUUUGAGACUGCACGGCUAGAGUGUGUCAGAGGGGGGUAGAAUUCCACGUGUAGCAGUGAAAUGCGUAGAUAUGUGGAGGAAUACCGAUGGCGAAGGCAGCCCCCUGGGAUAACACUGACGCUCAUGCACGAAAGCGUGGGGAGCAAACAGGAUUAGAAACCCCGGUAGUCCCA